AUGGGGCUCCCUGCAUGGAGCCUGCUUCUCCCUCUGCCUGUCUCUGCCUCUCCCUCUCUCUCUGUCUCUGUGUUGCUCAUGAAUAAAUAAAUAAAAUCUUUUAAAAAAUAUUUAUAGUGUGCAGGUACUUGAAAAAAGUUCUUACAUUCCUUCUGGACAGUUCGGUGGUAUAAGUUAGAAUUUAAUAGGAAAAAACAUUUUUUAUAAAAUAUUUUGCAUUUAACUUGUAAUUAGAGCAUGUGAAGGUUAUUAAUAUAGUUGGAAAUAAACUUUGCUACCUGUAAUAAUUUUGAUAAUUUUGUUAAAUUAACACUUGGAAUAUAAGUAAAUUAGGUAUAUCAAGAACAGAAACCUUGGUUUUUCUACAGUAUCUGCCACUUAGCGAUUUUUAUUAAAAACUGAACAAGCAAAAAAAGCUUACCAAAGUAUUUAUUCAGGAUCAAUUACACAGAAUGACUGGUUAUAGAGGAAAUUUAUCAGCUGGUGACAAAAAGAAAAAAGAGAAUAUGAAAGUGGAUUACUGCUGUUCAUAUUAAUAAGCACUCAUUGUUGAAGGUAAAUGAUUGAAAUUCCUUACUUUAGCUUGAUUUUAUAAUGACCCUACUCACUUUUGUGGAAUUAAUCAGUUGCUAUGUGAAGUAUCACUUAAAUAGUAUGCAUCAUUUGAUAAUGAAACACUCCAGGAUUUGUAAUCCUUAUGCAGAAUUAUUCUCUUGUUCAUGAUGAUGGGCCUAGUUGCUAAGUCCCCCGUAAGUCAAUCUUCUUUGCCCCAUGGGACUUAGAACAAUUUUUUUGCCUAAUAAAAGUUUACUUUUAAAGGAUGGUAAGAACAAGACAUUCAGAAGAAACAGCAUUUAAAUUAGGUACCGUGAAUGUGAAGAGAUGAUAGAUAUUCAUCAACUAUUUAUUGACCCCUUUGUAUGUGGUGGGCACUGUGCUAGGUGCAAGGAUACAUUGAUAUAUAAAAACCACACAUGUACACCCUAACUUUAAUGAGCCAGUAUUGUUGGAGAGAUAGCCAGUUAGUUUUACAAGUUGUAAAACAAUGGCAACACAUGGAGAAAUAAGUAUGAAUCUGGGGUAUCAAGAUAAUGUAUAAUUGGAAAAAAAAUGAAAACCUUCCCUUAGGCAAUGAUGAUUAAGCUAAAAUCUUGGGGAUAAGUAAAAGUUAAGUAGGCAGAAAUAGGAGGGAGGACUAACCAGGCAGAGGGAACAGUGGAUACGUAGAAGGAAAUGAAAACAGGUUUAGCUGAAGUUGAGUAGUUCAUGAAAUUGAACAGGUUAAGUUGACAGCUGUCCAUACCUGACAUUCUAAGCUGUUUUCUUUGUCAGGGCUACAGUAUCAGAAAUGUGUUUUUAAUAUUAAAAGCUAAUAUAUACAAUUCUAGACCUAUACCCAACAGAUAGGGUUGUACAUAUGCCACAAGAGACAUGUGCAUAAUAACAUGAUUCAUAAUAGCCAAAAAUUGGAAAUAGCAUGUCCAUCAACAUAGAGUGGAUAAAUAGGUAUAAUCCAGUGGAAUGUUAUGCAGUGAAAAUGAAUGAAUGACUGGAGCCAUAAGUAAGAACAUGGAGAGCAUUAUGAGUGAAAGCAGAAGCCACAGAACUUCUGUAUUACUACAUUUAUAUGAAGUUCAAACACAGGCAAUAUUAAGCAAUAGUGUUUAGAGAUACUUAGGUACAAAGUCUUUUUAAAACAGCGUUAAUGAGGUAUAUACUGCAUGCCACAAAGUACAUCCAUCAUAAGUAUACAGUUUGAUAGUUUUUAGUAAGUUUGUAUAGUUGUACAACUGCUACCACAAUCCAAUUGGCAAAGUCAUUUUUAUAAAAAAUAAAGUGACCACCAUAAAAGAUUAGUGGUUACCCUUAAUGUGGAAGGAGGUGGUUUGUAUUUGGAAAGAGUCAUGAAAAGGAAUUCUUUCAUGGGUGUUUAGUUUUUAAUAUCACAUUAAGCUUAUGUUUUAAAAGUCUUUUCUGUAUGUGUGUUAUAAUGCAGUCCUAAAAUUUUUUUAAACUGUUUUAGACAGGUUAUACAUUUAACAUAGGUAAAUUAUCCCACCUUUUUAAAAAAUUAUUAAUUUCCACUAUAAUGCCAGAUGCACUGGAACAGGGACAUUUUCUGACAUGUUCAUCAGUGUAUCCCCAGUACUUUGUGAAUGAAUACAUGAACUGAUUGCUGAAUCCUGAAUUCAAGUCCACAUCUAAUGAAUUUCAAAACCAGUAGCCAUAAUUAUUAGUCUUUAAGAGUGUUAAAGUUAGGCAAAACUUAGAGAUCACUUAAUGAGUAUAAUUAUUUCUCACUAUCCAGAUGAGGAAAUUAGACUUAAGAAAGGAUUGUCUAAAAUAACACUGUUGACCUACCAGUUAAGAGUUUGUCUCCAAACCCCGAAUCUAGUGUUUGUUUCCUUACAACAUAGAAUAAUAGCAGUGCUGCCAUUUAGCAACAUAGGAGUUGCUUUUUACCACAGUCCUUUAUAUAAAUAAGGGAAACAUCUUUGCUUUCCUUUUUAAUCUCUUCUACUUUUUAAAGCCCACUGUUAGUUUUAGGCUUUCAAGUACUAAACAUUAAUAUAGAAUAAUUAAGGCUCAGAGGGCUGUUGUCCUUUGAAUUGUCCUAGUAGUCAGUAAACAUUAGCUAAUAUAUUACCUAUUAAUAAUAAUACUGAAGUCAUUUAGAUAAUGAAACAGGAGAGUUUCCAGAAAUAUACCAAAUUACAUAUGGGAAAUUAGAAUAUGAUAAAGAUAGCUUAUCAAAUUGAUGUAAAAACGUGGAUUAUCAAGAUGCCUGGCUGGGUCAGUCAGAAGAGCAUGCAACUCUCUUGAUCUUGGGGUUGUGAGUUUGAGCCCCAUGUUGGGUGUAGAGAGUAUUAGAGAGAUGAAUUAUUAAAUAAGUGACAGUACUGCAUCAGAUAAGAACAUUCUUGGCUAUAAGAAGCAACCCUGUGAUCAAUGGCUUCACUAAACAGGAGUUUAUGUUUCUCACAUAGUAUGAAAUCCAAGAAUAUAUGAUCCAGGACUAAUACGGCAACUUAAUGUCAUCAAGGACUCAGGCUCAUCUUAUCUUUUUACUCUUCCAGUUUGGAUGGGUGGCUUUCGUUUUCAUUGUAUGAAGGUAGUAGCUGCUUCACCUCUAGGUAUUACAUCUAGAUUCCUAGCAGAAAGAAAGGUGAAAAAGAGACCAGAAGGACCAUGUCAGUUGCUCUUAUUUAAAAGUUAGGACAGAACUGAAAAAGAAAGAAAGGUGAAAAAGAGACCAGAAGGACCAUGUCAGUUGCUCUUAUUUAAAAGUUAGGACAGAACUGCAUCACUUGGCCACCCUUGCUCCAAGAGUCUGGGAAAGUACUUUAAGCUGGGCACAUUCUGCCCUAAACAAAGUCACAGUUCUGUUAGUAAGGGAGAAUGGGUGCCAGGUAGGUAACUAGCAGUGUCUUACAAAAGACACGGCAGGCCACUUGGAAAAAUAUAAAGCUGGAUCUGCACCUCACUUUGUAUGACAAGGUAAAUUACACUUACAUCAAAUAUUCCAAAAACAAGCCAGAAAAAACAGGAAUUAAUUUUUCAUAUACUCUUUGAGUAAGGAUUUCAAAACAUGGUAUAAAACACAAAAACUGAAAAGAAAGAUUAAGAAAAUUGACUACAUGUCAUUUAAAACAAUUCUGUAAGAGAAAGGAUGAACUACAAGUUGAGAAAUAUUUGUAAGACUUAGAUAGACAAUAGGCCUAAUUUCCUUAAUAAAGAAUAUAGAGAUGCCUGGGUGGCUCAGCAGUUGAGCAUCUGCCUUCAGCUCAGGGCAUGAUACUGGAGUCCUGAGAUCAAGUCCCACAUCGGGCUCCCCACAGGGAGCCUGCUUCUCCCUCUGCCCAUGUCUGCCUCUCUCUCUCUGUCUCUCUCAUGAAUAAAUAAAAUCUUUUAAAAUAUAUAUAAAUCAGUAAUUUAUUUUUUUAAAUCAGUAAUUUAAAAUGGUAAAAGGAUAUAUGUGGGCAGUCAUGUAUUACGUGAUAUGUAAUAGUAAAAGCAUAUUUAUAAAUUUUUUUUUAAUUUUUAUUUAUUUAUGAUAGUACACAGAGAGAGAGAGAGAGAGGCAGAGACACAGGCAGAGGGAGAAGCAGGCUCCAUGCCCCGGGAGCCCGAUGCGGGACUCGAUCCCGGGUCUCCAGGAUCACGCCCUGGGCCAAAGGCAGGUGCUAAACCACUGCGCCACCCAGGGAUCCCCAUAUUUAUAAAUUGUUAAUUAAAAUGGGCAAGGUAUAUAAAUGAACAAUCCAAGAGGAAAGAAAUGAUUUUUUUUUAAAGACCAGUGAGUAUGUACAGAUGCACAAAUUCAUUUGUGAUUAAAUGCAGUUUAAACACGGACAAAUUGGCCCCUCAGAUUGCCAAACCUUGGAAAGGUUGGUAAUAUCCAGUAUUAUUUCAGAUUAUGAGCAGAUCUGAUUUAAGCGAUAGACAUGAGCAUGGCUGAUUCAGUUAUUAAAAUAUUGAGAUGCAUUCCUACCAUUGAUAAAUAGUAGUACUGUUAAUUACGUAAAUUCUGAUACAGAUUUGUUAGUUCUAUUGUGACAUGUAUUGGUAAUGGACCUUUUGUUGAUAAUGGCAUAGGAGAAACAUUGCAACAUCUGUUAGCUUGACCUGUGUCAUGUUAAAUAAUGUUGCUACAUUGUGCUUUACCUGUGAAACACUCCAUGCCCUAACAGUUGCUACUUCUAAGUAGUUUCAUUUUUAUUUGCUUUUACUUUUAGUGAAUUGUAGUUCUUAGAUGAAAAGUAAAUACAGUGUUUUAGUAUUUUAAAAUGGGAGAAUUUAUAACAAAAUAUGAGUAAUUGAUACCCCCAAACUGUUUGACAUCUGCUAUCAAUGCAGAACGUGCAUACCCUGUGACCCAGCAAUUCCAUAUGUACACCACCAUAAAUUCAGCACUGUGCAAUGGGAUUUCCUGCAAUGAUGGAAGUAGUCUGUAUUCUGUGUUGUCUGUAUAGCAGCUAUGUGGGCUUUGAAUAGUUGGAGUGGGAUUAAUGCAACUGAGAAUGACCGUUUUUUUUUUUUUUUUUUUUUUUCUAAGUAAGCUCUAAGCCCAACAUGGAGCUUGAUCUCAUGACCCCUGGAUCAAGAGUUGCAUGCUCUACUGACUGAGCCAGCCAGGCACCCGUGAUUUUCAAUUUAAUUUCUUUUAAACUUAAGGAAUUGGUCAAAGCAGUGAGUGUUUAUAGCAGCACUUUUAAUAAUAUCCCAAACUGGAAACAACCCAAAUAGACAAAUCAUGGCACUCUUACACAAUAGGAUAUAUUAGAUUGAAAGAUCUAAAGCUACAUGUAAAAUUAUGGAUGAUCUCAAAAACCAAAUGCUUAGCAAAAAGAAGCCAGACACAAAAUAAUACACACUUUAUGGUUCUAUUUAUGUAAAAUACAAAAACAAGAUGUCAGUUACUCUUCUGUGGGAAGGAAAUAACUGAAAGGAUUUGGAAUUGGGGCAUCUAGGAUGCUGUUCUAUUAAUCUGGGUGCUAGUUACAUGGGUGUGUUCAGUUUGAAAAUAUAUCAAGCUGUACACUUGUAUCAUGCAUACUUUCUAUAAGGAUAUUAUAUUUGAAUUAAACCUUGUAAGAGGAAAGAGGAAAAAAACCCACCCAGAAUGAAGUAUCAGCAAAAUGUUGGUAAGUUUCUUAGCAUUCCUUUUAAAUGUCAUAAAUGUUCACGUUCUAAAACUGGAAAAAUAUGAUAACUCUAGCAUGGGACACUUCUUGAAACAUCCUGAAAUGUCUUUUGGUACUGUGCAAAAAUUAAUAUAAAAUAAAACCAGUGAUUUUCAUUUCUGAAAUAAAAGCAUGACUUAUUGCAAGUGAUGUGAAUGAUGAAUGCAGACAGUAACAAAAAAUGUAGUGUUGAAGAUUGGAAAUGCUAAACUCAUAUUUCAUCCAAAGAGCAAUCGUGUUCACUUAGCUCAUAGUUCAAAGAUUUGUAAUAAUCGGGAGAUGAUUAAGGAGAUCAUAUAUUACUUUCAACAAUAAAGAAUUUGAAAUAGUGUCUUUUAAAAUAUUUUUUCUUUGAUCAAUUGAAAUUCUCAGGUGCAAUUUUUAAAAGUACCAAAUUGUUAACACCAGCUAUUUGUCAUGUUAACAGUUGGUACAAAGAAGGAUUUUUAGGCAUGAAAUGUUUCAUAAAACUUUUAUACACUUUGCAUUUUAGAUUUAUGAUCUCACUUGUAAAACAUACCUGACAAAAACAACAUAAAUUUCAAUCAUUACUGCAAAACUUCAAUUGUUACAAAUAAAAGUGUCUUAAUAAUUUAUUUAAAAGACAAAAUAUCACAAUUUAAAAAAUAGUUUAAUGGCUUUCAUUGAUGCUGUGGAGCUAAAGAUAACAUCUGGGAGAAAAUAACAAACUUUAUUAUAGGUGUUCCAAAGAAAAUGAUUCCAAUAAGAACUAUAUGGAAACUUUAUUGUGUUUUGAACAAACAGUACUAUGAAAUGCUAGGGAGGAAAUCUGGAAUUAUAGCCAAAAUUUAGAAAGCUUUCCAGAUGUUUUAAUUUGGCACAGUCACUACUUUUGAUUAUCUCUAAAUAAUGCAAUAGAGAUAUAAAUAAAUGAAUCAUUUUAAAGUAUUUUCCCAAUAAACUGUUACUUACUAUCAUAAAUUUAUGCUCAAAAACAAAGGUAAAUUUUUCUGGGAAAGUUAAUAUCUGAAGAGCUCUGAAUUGUGAUAAUAAUGAUAAUUGAAAUUACAUUUUGGCUUCAGUGGCAGGCUAUAGUUUUAGAGCUACAAAGGUAAUUUGAAAAUCAUACUAAACCUUGCUUGGUUUCUUCAUUAGAAAUUUGAAAGAGUAGACAUUUAGAAUAUGAAGAAAGUAUUUUUAGAAAUUUGACCUUACUAAAAGAUACUUGAUCAAACAUUAUUUGGGAGUUUUUCUAUGAAUGUUUUGAAUGAAAUUAAUAUUUAAAUAAGUAGACUGAGUAAAACAUUGCCCUCCAUAAGGUGGGUGGACAUCAUCCUGCAGACCUGAAUAGAACAAAAGGGCUGACCCUCCUCCCUUCCUACCCUGCCCUCCCACCUCCGCAUCCCCCACCCGCUAAACUAUAGUUCCUCUGGCUGGCUGCCUUCAAGUUGGGAUAUCUGUUUUCCUGCCUUCGGACUCCACUCUUCCUGGGUUUCAAGCCUGCCAGACUUUGGACUGGAACUAUGCAGUUGCCUUUCCUGGGUCUCCAACUUGCCUGCUUACUCUGCAUAUCUUUGGACUUGUCAGCCUCUGUAAUCAUCCCUGUAGCACUGAAUGCACAAAGCAUCUGGAUGUUGGCUCCUAAAUUCCAUUCUCCAUUAAAAAGAACUAAGAGUCCUUGAAGAAAUGAUUGAUUGCAAGUCUGAGGCAGGGAAAAUACAAGAUGAACCUGGAACAUAUUUUUGUGCUAUGUCAAAGCCACAGGAACCUGUUUGAAGGCGCUCUCAUCAACCAAAUCUCAAAAAAAAAAAAAAAAAAUUGAACAUCAAAAAAAAAAAAAAAACAAAAGCAAAGGAAUAGAACCUAC